UUAGCUCAGUCGGUAGAGCACCAGACUCUUAAUCUGGUUGUCGCGGGUUCGAGCCCCGCA
rnacentral:tRNA from 1 species